rnacentral:rRNA from 1 species
AUGUCGUCCAGCGGCCACGGCGCCGUCGACGCCCGCACCGGCUACUGCGCAGCAACCAAGUCGUUCCUCAGCCUCCGCGGGCCGCUGCCGCUGCCGCCCGCCGACGUCCCACUCACAUUCCCGGCCUUCGCGCUGUCGCUGCUGCCGUCCCCUCUCCCCGCCCACCCCGCGCUCCUCGACGCCGCCACCGGCGAGGCCGUCUCCUACCCGGCGUUCCUGUCCCAGGUGCGCGCGCUCGUGGGCGCGCUGCGGUCGCGCGUGGUGCCGCUCGGCCGCGGCGACGUGGCCUUCGUCCUCGCCCCCGCGCGGCUCGACGUGCCCGUGCUCUACUUCGCGCUCCUCGCCGUCGGCGCGGUCGUGUCCCCGGCCAACCCGGCCCUCACCGCCGGCGAGGUGUCCCGCCUCGUCUGCCUCUCCGGCGCGUCCUUCGCCUUCGCGGUGUCCUCCACCGCCGGCAAGCUCCCCGCCGGCCUCCCCACCACCCUCCUCGACUCCCCGCACUUCCGCUCCCUCCUGCACAGCGACCAUGGCGAGAACCAGUCGGCGCCGCUGGACGCCGGAGCAGUGUGCCAGUCAGCGACAGCGACGGUCCUGUACUCCUCCGGCACGACCGGGCGGGUGAAGGCGGCGGCGGUGCCGCACCGGAGCUUCAUCGUGAGGGCGGCGGGGCUCCGUGCCCUGCACCUGCAGGGGAAGUCGAGGAAGGCCAACGAGAGGACUCUGAUCGGCGCCCCCAUGUUCCACACCAUGGGUUUCUUCUUCACGCUCAACGGGCUGGCGCAGGGGAUUACCACUGUUGUGAUGACGGAGGCGGCCGCGCGGGCUGGGUUGAGGGGAAUGCUGGAGGCAGCGCAGCGGUGGGAGGUGACGGAGAUCAUGGCGGCGCCUCCCGUGGUGCUGGGGAUGACAAAAGAAAGGUGCCGGCUCACGAGUCUGCUGCGCGUGAUCUGCGGCGGCGCCCCUCUGCCGAGAUCGGCGGCGGAGCAGUUCCCGCGGCGGUUCCCCCAAGUGGACCUGUGCAUGGGUUAUGGCGCAACAGAGGCUGGGGGCAUAUCCUUGAUGAUCGACCGGGACGAGUGCUCCCGCAUAGGUUCCUCCGGCCGCAUCUCCCACAACGUCGAGGCGAAGAUCGUUGACAUCGUCACCGGAGAGCCCUUGUCGAUCGGGCAGAAAGGGGAGCUGUGGGUGAGAGGUCCUUCCAUCAUGACAGGCUACCUAGGUGACGACGAGGCGAAUGCGGCCUCUUUCGAUUCGGAAGGCUGGCUGAAGACCGGCGACCUUUGCUACAUUGAUCAGGACGGGUUUCUGUUCGUGGUGGAUAGGCUCAAGGAGCUAAUCAAGUACAAGGCCUAUCAGGUUGCACCUGCAGAGCUGGAGCUUGUCCUGCAAUCGCUGCCAGAGAUUGUCGACGCUGCAGUGAUGCCAUAUCCUCACGAAGAGGCAGGAGAGAUACCCAUGGCGCUCGUGGUGAGGCAACCCGGGAGCAAGGUCACUGAGGCGCAGGUCAUGGAGCAUGUAGCCAAGCAGGUCACGCCGUACAAGAAGGUGCGCAAGGUGCUGUUUGUCGACUCCAUACCGAGAUCGCCGGCCGGAAAGAUCUUGAGGAGGCAGUUGAAAGACCAUAUGCAGUCUUGCAUUGUGUCCAGACUCUGA